GUCGUCCUCAUCCUCAUCCUCAUGUUCAUCCUCAUCCUCAGCCUAUCCUCCUCCGCAUCAGGAUUAGGAUAAGAUGACGAUGAGGAUAGGAUGACGACGAGGAUUGGAUGAGGAUUAGGAUCAGGAUGAGGAUUAAGAUUAGGAUUAGGAUAGGAUGACGGUGGGAAUGUGGAUGAGGAUGAGGAUGAGGAUGAGGAUGAU
rnacentral:pre_miRNA from 1 species